rnacentral:rRNA from 1 species
ACGAACGCUGGCGGCGUGCUUAACACAUGCAAGUCGAACGGAAAGGCCCUGCUUUUGUGGGGUGUUCGAGUGGCGAACGGGUGAGUAACACGUGAGUAACCUGCCCUUGACUUUGGGAUAACUUCAGGAAACUGGGGCUAAUACCGGAUAGGAGCUCCUGCUGCAUGGUGGGGGUUGGAAAGUUUCGGCGGUUGGGGAUGGACUCGCGGCUUAUCAGCUUGUUGGUGGGGUAGUGGCUUACCAAGGCUUUGACGGGUAGCCGGCCUGAGAGGGUGACCGGCCACAUUGGGACUGAGAUACGGCCCAGACUCCUACGGGAGUCAGCAGUGGGGAAUAUUGCACAAUGGGCGGAAGCCUGAUGCAGCAACGCCGCGUGCGGGAUGACGGCCUUCGGGUUGUAAACCGCUUUCGCCUGUGACGAAGCGUGAGUGACGGUAAUGGGUAAAGAAGCACCGGCUAACUACGUG